GACGAACGCUGGCGGCGUGGAUUAGGCAUGCAAGUCGGACGGUAGGGCUUUAUCGUAAGAUAGAGUUUGAGAGCGGCGAACGGGUGAGUAACACGUAGGAAUCUACCCUUAAGACGGGGACAACCCAGGGAAACUUGGGCUAAUACCGGAUGAGAGUGCGAGAGAUUGCAUUUAAAAGGAUGGCGAAAGUUGUCGCUUAGGGAUGAGCCUGCGGUCUAUUAGUUAGUUGGUGAGGUAAGAGCUCACCAAGGCGAUGAUAGAUAGGCGGCCUUAACGGGUGGUCGCCCACACUGGGAUUGAGAUACGGCCCAGACUCCUACGGGAGGCAGCAGUGGGGAAUAUUGCACAAUGGGGGAAACCCUGAUGCAGCGACGCCGCGUGAAGGAAGAAGGCCCUCGGGUUGUAAACUUCUUUGACCAGGGACGAAGAAAGUGACGGUACCUGGAGAACAAGCCACGGCUAACUACGUG
rnacentral:rRNA from 1 species